GCAGAAAUAGCUCAGUUGGGAGAGCGUUAGUCUAAAGGUCCCUGGUUCGAUUCCGGGUUUUGCCA
rnacentral:tRNA from 1 species